GUGCUACUGAAGAGUCCCAGAACUAGGACGAAACAGCUGUCCAGUAC
rfam:Trichobilharzia regenti genome assembly, scaffold: TRE_scaffold0007785